rnacentral:rRNA from 1 species
AGCAUAUCAAUAAGCGGAGGAAAAGAAACCAACAGGGAUUGCCCUAGUAACGGCGAGUGAAGCGGCAACAGCUCAAAUUUGAAAUCUGGCGCAAGCCCGAGUUGUAAUUUGUAGAGGAUGCUUCUGGGCAGCGGCCGGUCUAAGUUCCUUGGAACAGGACGUCAUAGAGGGUGAGAAUCCCGUAUGCGACCGGUUGGCACCCGUCACGUAGCUCCUUCGACGAGUCGAGUUGUUUGGGAAUGCAGCUCUAAAUGGGAGGUAAAUGCCUUCUAAAGCUAAAUACCGGCCAGAGACCGAUAGCGCACAAGUAGAGUGAUCGAAAGAUGAAAAGCACUUUGGAAAGAGAGUUAAAAAGCACGUGAAAUUGUUGAAAGGGAAGCGCAUGCAACCAGACUUGUCGGCGGUGUUCCGCCGGUCUUCUGACCGGUCUACUCGCCGUCGACAGGCCAGCAUCAUCUGGGAGCGCCGGAUAAAGGCGCGGGGAAUGUGGCUCCUCGGAGUGUUAUAGCCCCGCGUGCAAUACGGCGCCUCCCGGGUGAGGUCCGCGCUUCGGCUAGGAUGCUGGCGUAAUGGUUGUCUGCGGCCCGUCUUGAAACACGGACCAAGGAGUCUAACAUCUGUGCGAGUGUUCGGGUGUCAAACCCCUACGCGUAAUGAAAGUGAACGGAGGUGGGAACCUUAGGGUGCACCAUCGACCGAUCCUGAUGUCCUCGGAUGGAUUUGAGUAAGAGCAUAGCUGUUGGGACCCGAAAGAUGGUGAACUAUGCCUGAAUAGGGUGAAGCCAGAGGAAACUCUGGUGGAGGCUCGCAGCGGUUCUGACGUGCAAAUCGAUCGUCAAAUUUGGGUAUAGGGGCGAAAGACUAAUCGAACCAUCUAGUAGCUGGUUCUGCA